rnacentral:rRNA from 1 species
ACCUCAAAUCAGGUAGGGAUACCCGCUGAACUUAAGCAUAUCAAUAAGCGGAGGAAAAGAAAAUAACCAUGAUUCCCCUAGUAACUGCGAGUGAAGAGGGAAGAGCUCAAAUUUUAAAUCUGUUAGGUUUACCUAACCGAAUUGUAAUUUGAAGAGGCGUUUUCCGCGCGUUUCGGUCAGCCCAAGUCCUAUUGAAUGAGGCAUCGUAAAGGGUGAUAAUCCCGUCCGGUUGAUCGGUUGCGUGUACGAAACGUUUUCAAAGAGCCAAGUUGUUUGGGAUUGCAGCUUAAAAUGGGAGGUAAAUUUCUCCUAAGGCUAAAUAUUGGCGAGAGACCGAUAGCGAACAAGUACCGUGAGGGAAAGAUGAAAAGCAUCUUGAAAGGACGUCAAAUAGCACGUGAAAUUGUUGAAAGGGAAACGAUUGAAGUCAGUCGUACCGAUGGGUAAUCAGCCUCUCGGGCGUGAUUUUUGUGG